CCUAAGGUGUUACCUCCAUUCCCACCUAAGGUCUUCCCUCCAAAAAUUCCAAUCUUCAAGAAGCCUCUUCCUCCACCAGUGCCAAUCUACAAGAAGCCUCUCCCUCCACCAGUGCCGGUAUACAAGAAGCCGGUCCCUCCCCCCGUCCCGGUCUACAAGAAGCCUCACCCUCCGCCCGUCCCAAUCUACAAGAAACCUCUCCCUCCACCUGUCCCAGUCUAUAAGAAGCCUAACCCUCCACCAGUCCCAGUAUACAAGAAACCUUACCCUCCACCAACACCAAUCUACAAGAAACCUCUCCCUCCUCCCGUCCCAGUCUAUAAGAAGCCUAACCCUCCACCAGUCCCAGUAUACAAGAAACCUUGCCCUCCACCAAAACCAAUCUACAAGAAACCUCUCCCUCCACCUGUCCCAAUCUAUAAGAAGCCUCUUCCACCACCAGUUCCAGUAUACAAGAAGCCACUUCCACCACUAGUCCCCAUAUACAAGAAGCCAUUUCCACCACCAGUCCCAAUAUACACAAAGCCACUUCCACCACCAAUCCCAAUAUACAAGAAGCCACUUCCACCACUAGUCCCCAUAUACAAGAAGCCAC
rnacentral:lncRNA from 1 species